rnacentral:rRNA from 1 species
UCUUCGGAUGCUGACGAGUGGCGAACGGGUGAGUAAUACAUCGGAACGUGCCUAGUAGUGGGGGAUAACUACUCGAAAGAGUAGCUAAUACCGCAUGAGAUCUACGGAUGAAAGCAGGGGACCUUCGGGCCUUGGGCUACUAGAGCGGCUGAUGGCAGAUUAGGUAGUUGGUGGGGUAAAGGCUUACCAAGCCUGCGAUCUGUAGCUGGUCUGAGAGGACGACCAGCCACACUGGGACUGAGACACGGCCCAGACUCCUACGGGAGGCAGCAGUGGGGAAUUUUGGACAAUGGGCGAAAGCCUGAUCCAGCAAUGCCGCGUGCAGGAUGAAGGCCCUCGGGUUGUAAACUGCUUUUGUACGGAACGAAAAGCCUGGGGCUAAUAUCCCCGGGUCAUGACGGUACCGUAAGAAUAAGCACCGGCUAACUACGUGCCAGCAGCCGCGGUAAUACGUAGGGUGCAAGCGUUAAUCGGAAUUACUGGGCGUAAAGCGUGCGCAGGCGGUUUUGUAAGACAGUGGUGAAAUCCCCGGGCUCAACCUGGGAACUGCCAUUGUGACUGCAAGGCUAGAGUGCGGCAGAGGGGGAUGGAAUUCCGCGUGUAGCAGGGAAAUGCGUAGAUAUGCGGAGGAACACCGAUGGCGAAGG